rnacentral:rRNA from 1 species
UACGAAGGGGGCUAGCGUUGUUCGGAAUUACUGGGCGUAAAGCGCACGUAGGCGGAUCAGCAAGUCAGGGGUGAAAUCCCGGGGCUCAACCUCGGAACUGCCUCUGAUACUGCUGGUCUAGAGUCCGGAAGAGGUGGGUGGAAUUCCUAGUGUAGAGGUGAAAUUCGCAGAUAUUAGGAAGAACACCGGUGGCGAAGGCGGCCCACUGGUCCGGUACUGACGCUGAGGUGCGAAAGCGUGGGGAGCAAACAGGAUUAGAAACCCCGGUAGU